AAGAAUUUAAUGGUCGAACAGACCAAGAAAAUUGAAAUUUUACGCCCAAAUCUUAUCUUAAUUCAACAUCGAGGUCGCAAACUUUUUCAUCGAUAUGAACUCUCCGAAAAAAUUACG
rnacentral:rRNA from 1 species